rnacentral:rRNA from 1 species
AAUGAACGCUGGCGGCGUGCCUAACACAUGCAAGUCGAACGAGAAAGUUCCUUCGGGAAUGAGUAGAGUGGCGCACGGGUGAGUAACGCGUGGGUAAUCUGCCCUUGGAUUUGGGAUAACUUCGCGAAAGUGGAGCUAAUACCGGAUAGUCUGGCUUUGUAAAAGGAGUCGGUAAAGGAUGCCUCUGCAUAUGCAUUCGUCCGAGGAUGAGCCCGCGUCUCAUUAGCUAGUUGGUAGGGUAACGGCCUACCAAGGCGACGAUGAGUAGCUGGUCUGAGAGGAUGAUCAGCCACACUGGGACUGAAACACGGCCCAGACUCCUGCGGGAGGCAGCAGUGGGGAAUAUUGCGCAAUGGGCGAAAGCCUGACGCAGCAACGCCGUGUGAGGGAUGAAGGUUUUCGGAUCGUAAACCUCUGUCAGAAGGGAAGAAGUGGUGCGGGUCCAACAGGCCCGUAUCUUGACGGUACCUUCAAAGGAAGCACCGGCUAACUCCGUGCCAGCAGCCGCGGUAAUACGGAGGGUGCAAGCGUUAUUCGGAAUUACUGGGCGUAAAGCGCACGUAGGCGGCCUUGUAAGUCAGGUGUGAAAUCCCACGGCUCAACCGUGGAACUGCACUUGAAACUGCGGGGCUCGAAUCCUGGAGAGGGCGGCGGAAUUCCUGGUGUAGGAGUGAAAUCCGUAGAUAUCAGGAGGAACACCGGUGGCGAAGGCGGCCGCCUGGACAGGUAUUGACGCUGAGGUGCGAAAGUGUGGGGAGCAAACAGGAUUAGAUACCCUGGUAGUCCACACCGUAAACGAUGGAUACUAGGUGUCGGGGACUUGAUCCUCGGUGCCGCAGUUAACGCGUUAAGUAUCCCGCCUGGGGAGUACGGUCGCAAGGCUGAAACUCAAAGAAAUUGACGGGGGCCCGCACAAGCGGUGGAGUAUGUGGUUUAAUUCGAUGCAACGCGAAGAACCUUACCUGGGCUUGACAUCCUGGGAAUUCCGCAGAGAUGCGGAAGUGCCCUUCGGGGAAUCCAGAGACAGGUGCUGCAUGGCUGUCGUCAGCUCGUGCCGUGAGGUGUUGGGUUAAGUCCCGCAACGAGCGCAACCCCUAUCCUCAGUUGCCAGCAGGUAAAGCUGGGCACUCUGUGGAGACUGCCCGGGUUAACCGGGAGGAAGGUGGGGACGACGUCAAGUCAUCAUGGCCCUUACGCCCAGGGCUACACACGUACUACAAUGGUGGGCACAAAGGGCAGCGAAACCGCGAGGUCCAGCCAAUCCCAAAAAACCCAUCAUAGUCCGGAUUGCAGUCUGCAACUCGACUGCAUGAAGUUGGAAUCGCUAGUAAUCCCGGAUCAGCAUGCCGGGGUGAAUACGUUCCCGGGCCUUGUACACACCGCCCGUCACACCACGAAAGUCGGUUCUACCCGAAGCCGCCAGGCUAACCCGCAAGGGAUGCAGGCGUCUACGGUAGGGCUGGUAAUUGGGGUGA